rnacentral:rRNA from 1 species
GACGAACGCUGGCGGCGUGCUUAACACAUGCAAGUCGAACGGGCCUUGUCCCCUUUUUUUUUGGGGGUGGGGUUAGUGGCGAACGGGGGAGUAACACGUGAGUAACCUGCCCCUCACUGCUGGAUAACCGCUUGAAAGGGUGGCUAAUACGGGGUGUUCUGGCCUGCUCGCAUGGGUGGGUUUGGAAAGAUUCGACCGGUUUUGGUUGUUUUGGUGGGGGAGGGGCUUGCGGCCUUAGAGACUGAUGGUGGGGUGGUGGCAUGCCGAGGCUGUGACGGGUAUGCGCUCUGAGAGGGUGCGCCGUCACACUAGGACUGAGACGCGGCCCAGUCUCCUGCGAGAGGCAGCAGUGGGGUAUAGUGCACAGUGGGCGAAAGCCUGAUGGAGCGACGCCGCGUGAGGGAUGGAGGCCUUCGGGGUGUGAGCCUCUUUCGCCAGUGAAAAAGGUGCUGCUCUUUGUGGUGGGGUUGACGGUAGCUGGGUUAAUGAAGCGCCGGCUAACUACGUG